UGAACCUGCAGAUGGAUCAU
rnacentral:rRNA from 1 species